rnacentral:rRNA from 1 species
AGAGUUUGAUCAUGGCUCAGGAUGAACGCUAGCUACAGGCUUAACACAUGCAAGUCGAGGGGCAGCAUUUUAGUUUGCUUGCAAACUGAAGAUGGCGACCGGCGCACGGGUGAGUAACACGUAUCCAACCUGCCGAUAACUCCGGAAUAGCCUUUCGAAAGAAAGAUUAAUACCGGAUGGCAUACGAAUAUCGCAUGAUAUUUUAUUAAAGAAUUUCGGUUAUCGAUGGGGAUGCGUUCCAUUAGUUGUUGGCGGGGUAACGGCCACCAAGACUACGAUGGAUAGGGGUUCUGAGAGGAAGGUCCCCCANAUUGGAACUGAGACACGGUCCAAACUCCUACGGGAGCA